rnacentral:rRNA from 1 species
GCCCAAGAGAUCGGGAUAACACCUGGAAACAGAUGCUAAUACCGGAUAACAACAGAUGAUGCCUAUCAACUGUUUAAAAGAUGGUUCUGCUAUCACUCUUGGAUGGACCUGCGGUGCAUUAGCUAGUUGGUAGGGUAACGGCCUACCAAGGCGAUGAUGCAUAGCCGAGUUGAGAGACUGAUCGGCCACAUUGGGACUGAGACACGGCCCAAACUCCUACGGGAGGCAGCAGGC